AUUGAACGCUGGCGGCAUGCCUUACACAUGCAAGUCGAACGGCAGCACGGGAGCAAUCCUGGUGGCGAGUGGCGAACGGGUGAGUAAUAUAUCGGAACGUGCCCAGUCGUGGGGGAUAACGCAGCGAAAGCUGUGCUAAUACCGCAUACGAUCUACGGAUGAAAGCGGGGGAUCGCAAGACCUCGCGCGAUUGGAGCGGCCGAUAUCAGAUUAGCUAGUUGGUGAGGUAAAGGCUCACCAAGGCGACGAUCUGUAGCUGGUCUGAGAGGACGACCAGCCACACUGGGACUGAGACACGGCCCAGACUCCUACGGGAGGCAGCAGUGGGGAAUUUUGGACAAUGGGCGCAAGCCUGAUCCAGCCAUUCCGCGUGCAGGACGAAGGCCUUCGGGUUGUAAACUGCUUUUGUACGGAACGAAAAGGCUCUGGUUAAUACCUGGGGCUCAUGACGGUACCGUAAGAAUAAGCACCGGCUAACUACGUGCCAGCAGCCGCAGUAA
rnacentral:rRNA from 1 species